rnacentral:piRNA from 1 species
UUGAUGGUGAAACACACUUCA